GAAGGAAAACUUAGGAAAAAAGGAACCGGUGAAUACUUAUGAAUCUGGUAAUAGGUGUUAUCGGCGGUGAUCGGAAUAACCAAAAACCGGAAACCCGGUUUUCCAGCGAGGCUCCCUAGUGCAGCAAUGGCCGUCGGAGGUUGCUAGUCGGUGGGGAAGGAGGCGACAUCUCAAAUUAGCAAGAUACAUACGCUAUUUAAUAUAACCAAGUAAAAUUAAAAUCUCAAAACAGAACCAUCACCUUGAUUUUAAUGUCUCUC
rnacentral:lncRNA from 1 species